CACAUACUCCCUCCGUCCGGAAAUACUUGUCAUCAAAAUGGAUAAAAGGGGAUGUAUCUAGAUGUAUUUUAGUUCUAGAUAAAUCUCUUUUUAUCCAUUUUGAUGACAAGUAUUUUCGGACGGAGGGAGUACCUU
rnacentral:pre_miRNA from 1 species